AGAGUUUGAUCCUGGCUCAGAUUGAACGCUGGCGGAAUGCUUUACACAUGCAAGUCGAACGGCAGCACGGGGGCAACCCUGGUGGCGAGUGGCGAACGGGUGAGUAAUACAUCGGAACGUGCCCAGUCGUGGGGGAUAACGCAGCGAAAGCUGUGCUAAUACCGCAUACGAUCUACGGAUGAAAGCGGGGGACUCGCAAGGGCCUCGCGCGAUUGGAGCGGCCGAUGGCAGAUUAGGUAGUUGGUGGGGUAAAGGCUCACCAAGCCUGCGAUCUGUAGCUGGUCUGAGAGGACGACCAGCCACACUGGGACUGAGACACGGCCCAGACUCCUACGGGAGGCAGCAGUGGGGAAUUUUGGACAAUGGGCGCAAGCCUGAUCCAGCC
rnacentral:rRNA from 1 species